AGAGUUUGAUCCUGGCUCAGAACGAACGCUGGCGGCGUGGCUAAGACAUGCAAGUCGCGGGGUGAAAAUGAUCCGUAGCAAUACGGUGAAACACGACCGGCGCAAGGGUGAGUAAUGGAUGCGUAACGUGCCCUGGACACGGGGAUAGCCGUCCGAAAGGACGAUUAAUACCCGAUGAGAUCACGACCUCGCAUGAGGAUGGGAUCAAACGGUGGGGACCGCAAGGCCUACCGGUCUGGGAUCGGCGCAUUUCCUAUCAGCUAGUUGGUGAGGUAAUGGCCCACCAAGGCUUCGACGGGUAGCGGGACUGAGAGGUUGGCCCGCCACAUUGGCACUGAGACACUGGCCAGACUCCUACGGGAGGCUGCAGUAACGGAUCUUCCACAAUGGGCGCAAGCCUGAUGGAGCGACGCCGCGUGCAGGAGGAAGCCCUUCGGGGUGUAAACUGCUGUCAGGGGUAAGCAAGCGACCCGGGUGAAUAAUCCGGGAAGUUGAGCUAUCCCAGAGGAAGCCACGGCUAACUCUGUGCCAGCAGCCGCGGUAAUACAGAGGUGGCAAGCGUUGUUCGGAAUCACUGGGCUUAAAGGGCGCGCAGGCGGUCGGAAGGGUGUCUUGUGAAAUCCCUCGGCUUAACCGAGGAAUUGCCAGGCAAACCGUCCGACUUGAGGCAGGUAGGGGUCGAUGGAACUCUGGGUGGAGCGGUGAAAUGCGUAGAUAUCCAGGGGAACGCCAAUGGCGAAAGCAGUCGACUGGGUCUGUCCUGACGCUGAGGCGCGAAAGCCAGGGGAGCAAACGGGAUUAGAUACCCCGGUAGUCCUGGCCCUAAACGAUGUCCACUGGGUUUGAGAAUCUCUGACGAUGCUCGAGCCGCAACAAAAGUGUUAAGUGGACCGCCUGGGGAGUACGGCGCAAGGCUAAACUCAAAGGAAUUG
rnacentral:rRNA from 1 species